rnacentral:tRNA from 1 species
GGAAGCGUGGCAGAGCGGUUGAAUGCAGCAGUCUUGAAAACUGCCGAGGAUGCAAGUCCUCCGUGAGUUCGAAUCUCACCGCUUCCG